rnacentral:rRNA from 1 species
UACGAAGGGGGCUAGCGUUGCUCGGAAUGACUGGGCGUAAAGGGCGCGUAGGCGGAUGGUACAGUCAGAUGUGAAAUUCCCGGGCUUAACCUGGGGGCUGCAUUUGAUACGUAUUGUCUUGAGUUCGGAAGAGGGUCGUGGAAUUCCAGUGUAGAGGUGAAAUUCGUAGAUAUUGGAAAGAACACCGGUGGCGAAGGCGGCGACCUGGUCCGACACUGACGCUGAGGCGCGAAAGCGUGGGGAGCAAAACAGG